rnacentral:rRNA from 1 species
UACGUAGGGGGCAAGCGUUAUCCGGAAUCAUUGGGCGUAAAGCGCGUGUAGGCGGUUCCGUAAGUCCGCUCUGAAAGCCCAGGGCUCAACCCUGGGAGGCGGGUGGAUACUACGGAACUGGAGUACGGAAGAGGAGAUUGGAAUUCCUGGUGUAGCGGUGAAAUGCGCAGAUAUCAGGAGGAACACCAACAGCGAAGGCAGAUCUCUGGGACGUUACUGACGCUGAGGUGCGAAAGCGUGGGGAGCAAACAGG